rnacentral:rRNA from 1 species
AUUGAACGCUGGCGGAAUGCUUUACACAUGCAAGUCGAGCGGCAGCACGGGGGCAACCCUGGUGGCGAGCGGCGAACGGGUGAGUAAUACAUCGGAACAUGCCCAGUCGUGGGGGAUAACACUUCGAAGGAAGUGCUAAUACCGCAUACGUCCUGAGGGGGAAAGCGGGGGAUCGCAAGACCUCGCGCGAUUGGAGUGGCCGAUGUCAGAUUAGCUAGUUGGUGGGGUAAAGGCCUACCAAGGCAACGAUCUGUAGCUGGUCUGAGAGGAUGAUCAGCCACACUGGGACUGAGACACGGCCCAGACUCCUACGGGAGGCAGCAGUGGGGAAUUUUGGACAAUGGGGGCAACCCUGAUCCAGCCAUUCCGCGUGAGUGAAGAAGGCCUUCGGGUUGUAAAGCUCUUUCGGCAGGAACGAAACGGUGAGCUCUAACAUAGCUUGCUAAUGACGGUACCUGAAGAAGAAGCACCGGCUAACUACGUG